rnacentral:rRNA from 1 species
GACGAACGCUGGCGACGCGCUUAACACAUGCAAGUCGAACGGAAUGGCCUGCUUUCCCUUGUGGAUUGCGGGUACUCGAGUGGCGAACGGGUGAGUAACACGUGAGUGAUCUGCCCCCAACUUGGGUAUAAGCCUGGGAAACUGGGUCUAAUUCCCGAUAGGACUGCAGGGUGGUGCCUGUGGUGGAAAACGAUUUUCUAGUGGUUGGGGAUGAGCUCGCGGCCUAUCAGCUUGUUGGUGGGGUAAUGGCCUACCAAGGCGGCGACGGGUAGCCGGCCUGAGAGGGUGGACGGCCACAUUGGGACUGAGAUACGGCCCAGACUCCUACGGGAGGCAGCAGUGGGGAAUAUUGCACAAUGGGCGGAAGCCUGAUGCAGCGACGCCGCGUGGGGGAUGACGGCCUUCGGGUUGUAAACUCCUUUCGACCGCGAGGAAGCCACCUGGUUGGAAGGGUGGUGACGGUAGUGGUAGAAGAAGCACCGGCUAACUACGUG